CAACCUUGACUUCUAAAUGGAACAGGACAUCUACAAAGGGAAAAGUGACAGCAUCUACGUCAUAAAUCUGAAGAGGACCUGGGAGAAGCUUCUGCUGCUGUUCAGGCCAUUGUUGCCAUUGAAAACUCUGCUGAUGUCAGUGUCACAUCCUCCAGGAACACUGGCCAGUGAGCUGUGCUGGAGUUUGCUGCUGCCACUGGAGUCACUCCUAGUGCUGGCUGCUUCACUCCCGGAAACUUCUUUAACCAAUCCAGGCAGCCUUCCGGGAGCCUUGUCUUCUACUGGUUACUGAUCCCAGGGCUGACCACCAGCCUCUCACAGAGGCAACUUAUGUCAAGCUGCCUACCAUUGCUCUGGGUCACACAGAUUCUCCUCUGCGUUAUGUGGUCAUCAUCAUCCCAUGUAUCAACAAGGGAGCUCACUCAGUAGGUCUGAUGUGGUGGAUGCUGGCCCGGGAAGUUCUGCGCAUGAGUGGCACCAUCUCCCAUGAACAUCCAUGGGAGGUCAUGCCAGAUCUCUAUUUCUACAGAGAUCCUGAAGAGAUUGAAAAGGAAGAGCAGGCUGCUGCUGAGAGAGCUGUGACCAAGGAGGAAUUUCAGGGUGAAUGGACUGCUCCAGCUCCUGAGUUUACUGCUACUCAACCAGAGUUUACAGACUGGUAAGAAGGCUGCAGGUGCCCCCUGUGCCUAUUCAACAGGUCCCCACUGAAGACUGCAAUGCCCAGCCUGGCACUGAAGACUGGUCAGCUGCUCCCACUGCUCAAGCCACAGGAACAACCAGUGUGUGGUCUUAA